GCAAGUCGAGCGGACAGAUGGGAGCUUGCUCCCUGAUGUUAGCGGCGGACGGGUGAGUAACACGUGGGUAACCUGCCUGUAAGACUGGGAUAACUCCGGGAAACCGGGGCUAAUACCGGAUGGUUGUUUGAACCGCAUGGUUCAGACAUAAAAGGUGGCUUCGGCUACCACUUACAGAUGGACCCGCGGCGCAUUAGCUAGUUGGUGAGGUAACGGCUCACCAAGGCGACGAUGCGUAGCCGACCUGAGAGGGUGAUCGGCCACACUGGGACUGAGACACGGCCCAGACUCCUACGGGAGGCAGCAGUAGGGAAUAUUCCGCAAUGGACGAAAGUCUGACGGAGCAACGCCGCGUGAGUGAUGAAGGUUUUCGGAUCGUAAAGCUCUGUUGUUAGGGAAGAACAAGUGCCGUUCAAAUAGGGCGGCACCUUGACGGUACCUAACCA
rnacentral:rRNA from 1 species